AGCUAUUAUGUCAAUAUCCGCCAUGAUUGAUGAUCAUGAAUUUUUAUUAUGAAUUAGUUGUUCGAAAUGAUAUACAAACGUUUAUUUGAUAGUAGAUUAAUACAUCGCAUUGUAUUGUACGUUGGUUAUUAUAAAUUCCUAUUGCUGUCAAUAACCCCUUCGUUGGUAUAAAUAUAAAUAUUAUUAAAAGAACAUUAUCUGCUGUAUCUGAGAGCGAUUCUUAUUGUUGUUGCAUAGUUUUGUGGAUAUCAAAAAUGAAUCUUCCAAUAUUUCAUCCAAUAGAAAUCGAAGAGUUUCGUGGUACCAGUAUAAAAUUAACGUAAACACCACUAGCUUCUUGUAUAUCAGGCUUAAAGCAUUCCAUUGGAGUACCAUCUAAACUGAUCGAUUCUUCGGAAGAUAGAUAUGGUAAAAUGAGCCGAGCAUUCAAAGCGCAGACGUUGUUCUCAAAGCAGAUAUUCCACAAGAAAGAAGAGGAGUUUUCCAUUUUUUCAAGAUUUUUCCAAAUAUUUCUUGAUUUUUUUGAUGUUUGUAUUAAAUUGUUUAUUUGGCCAUCCUUUAUUUCCAUUAGGGGUUUCUAAAGUCUGAUCUAAAUUAAGUUUGGUGUAAUUCAAGUUUAUGAAGAUUUUUUCUAUACAAAUAUA